rnacentral:rRNA from 1 species
CUAAGUUUGAUGGCGACCGGCGCACGGGUGAGUAACACGUAUCCAACCUGCCGAUGACUCGGGGAUAGCCUUUCGAAAGAAAGAUUAAUACCCGAUGGCAUAGUUCUUCCGCAUGGUAGAACUAUUAAAGAAUUUCGGUCAUCGAUGGGGAUGCGUUCCAUUAGCUUGUUGGCGGGGUAACGGCCCACCAAGGUAUCGAUGGAUAGGGGUUCUGAGAGGAAGGUCCCCCACAUUGGAACUGAGACACGGUCCAAACUCCUACGGGAGGCAGCAG